rnacentral:rRNA from 1 species
CUAUAAUGCAGUCGAGCGGAUCUUGUCCUUCGGGACAAGGUUAGCGGCGGACGGGUGAGUAACACGUAGGCAACCUGCCCUCAAGACUGGGAUAACCUCCGGAAACGGAUGCUAAUACCGGAUAUGCGGUCUCUCCUCCUGGAGGGAUCGGGAAAGACGGAGCAAUCUGUCACUUGGGGAUGGGCCUGCGGCGCAUUAGCUAGUUGGUGGGGUAACGGCUCACCAAGGCGACGAUGCGUAGCCGACCUGAGAGGGUGAUCGGCCACACUGGGACUGAGACACGGCCCAGACACCUACGGGAGGCAGCAGUAGGGAAUCUUCCGCAAUGGACGCAAGUCUGACGGAACAACGCCGCGUGAGUGAGGAAGGCCUUCGGGUCGUAAAGCUCUGUUGCCGGGGAAGAGCGGGUGGAAGAGUGAGGGG